rnacentral:rRNA from 1 species
UACAGAGGGGGCAAGCGUUGUUCGGAAUUACUGGGCGUAAAGGGCGCGUAGGCGGCCUGUUAAGUCGAACGUGAAAUCCCCGGGCUCAACCCGGGAACUGCGUCCGAUACUGGCAGGCUUGAAUUCGGGAGAGGGAUGUGGAAUUCCAGGUGUAGCGGUGAAAUGCGUAGAUAUCUGGAGGAACACCGGUGCGAAGGCGGCAUCCUGGACCGAUAUUGA